GACAGAGGUUGCAAACGUUGUUCGGAAUCACUGGGCAUAAAGCGCACGUAGGCGGUCUGUUAAGUCAGGUGUGAAAGCCCCCGGCUCAACCGGGGAAUUGCAUUUGAUACUGGCAGGCUCGAGAACGGUAGGGGUGAGUGGAACUCCAGGUGGAGCGGUGAAAUGCGUAGAUAUCUGGAGGAACACCGGUGGCGAAAGCGGCUAUCUGGACCAGCACUGACACUGAGGCACAAAAGCGUGGGUAGCAAACAGG
rnacentral:rRNA from 1 species